GCUAGCCUGACAGUGAAACAAUACUGUUGACGUCUUUCUUCAUGUUUCCCUUCAAUUUCUCUGCCGCUAUCCAAAAAAAUAGAUCAGCACAGAAAACCCUGAUGAGGGGCUUCUGGGAGGCAUGGCUAUGGACUAUCAGUGAGCAGAACAGACUCUCCCCCUAAAACAACAAGUUUUAUUGUUGGAUUUCACAAACUUCACUAAACUGCAGCUGGGACGUCCACAGACAUGCAGAGAGACCUCAGCUUCUGGAAACAGCAGAGGCAAGCAGAAGGCACAUUCUAAGAACAGGCGUGGGAGUGAGAAGCCUGUCGCUGCUCUGGGCCAGCUCUCCGGUCAGCAGACAGUCAUGACAUUUUCACAGCC